GAUGCCCAGCUUGCUGGGCGGAUUAGUGGCGAACGGGUGAGUAAUACGUGAGUAACCUGCCCUUGACUCUGGGAUAAGCCUGGGAAACUGGGUCUAAUACUGGAUACUACCUCUUACCGCAUGGUGGGUGGUGGAAAGGGUUUUACUGGUUUUGGAUGGGCUCACGGCCUAUCAGCUUGUUGGUGGGGUAAUGGCUCACCAAGGCGACGACGGGUAGCCGGCCUGAGAGGGUGACCGGCCACACUGGGACUGAGACACGGCCCAGACUCCUACGGGAGGCAGCAGUGGGGAAUAUUGCACAAUGGGCGGAAGCCUGAUGCAGCGACGCCGCGUGAGGGAUGACGGCCUUCGGGUUGUAAACCUCUUUCAGUAGGGAAGAAGCGAGAGUGACGGUACCUGCAGAAGAAGCGCCGGCUAACUACGUGCCAGCAGCCGCGGUAAUACGUAGGGCGCAAGCGUUGUCCGGAAUUAUUGGGCGUAAAGAGCUCGUAGGCGGUUUGUCGCGUCUGCUGUGAAAGCCCGGGGCUCAACCCCGGGUCUGCAGUGGGUACGGGCAGACUAGAGUGCAGUAGGGGAGACUGGAAUUCCUGGUGUAGCGGUGAAAUGCGCAGAUAUCAGGAGGAACACCGAUGGCGAAGGCAGGUCUCUGGGCUGUUACUGACGCUGAGGAGCGAA
rnacentral:rRNA from 1 species